rnacentral:tRNA from 1 species
GGGCGCGUAGCUCAGCCUGGUUAGAGCGCCUGCUCGACACGCAGGAGGUCACAGGUUCAAGUCCUGUCGCGCCCACGA